ensembl:snoRNA
UCUGAGGAAUGAUUACAAUAAAAGGCCAAAUUGCAAUGCCUCCCCCAGCUGCUCCUUAUGGGUGCACGAUGAGAACAUCUUCAGAUGUGAACCACUGGUCUGACCUCAGU